AAGGGCACAAGGGCUCAAGAGAGCAUUAGGGUGGCCGACCAUAGCCCUUGUCCUAGAGGCAGCCCGAAGCUUCAGAAGUUUUACAGAGCAGAGAGGGGACAGCAGGGCUUUCCCGGUGGUACAGUAUAAAGAAUCUGCUUGCCCAUGCAGUGGACAUAAAAGACGUAGGUUCUAUUCCUGGGAUGGGAAGAUCCCCUGGAGUAAGAAAUGGCAACGCGCUCCAGUAUUCUUGCCUGGAAAAUCCCAUGGACAGAGAAGCCUGGCGGGCUACAGUCCUUGGGGUCCCAAAGAGUCAGUCACGACUGAGGAUUGAGCAUGUACACACAUACUGAGAGGAGACCAGAUCCACAAAAUUCCUCUGGGCUCUAGGGAACAAAAAAUACCGGAGAGGUCCCAAGUUCCCAGCAGAGUGAUGGCAGCCUGGCCCGGGGCAGUGACCUCUGAGACGGAGGGGAGGCUGGCCCUGGACACGACUGGGGAGGUCCAGAGGACAGGAGCGGGUGGUCAUGGUGUGGGGGUAAAGGAGGCCAAGGAGGGAAGUGCCAGAAAAGUUCCAGGCUCUAGCUUCUGCAAGGAGGGCGGCUGGGGCUGUCCCCUAAGACAGGGCAGCCAAGGAAGCAGGUUCACAAGAGGUCAGGUGUUUGUGUUGGGCCAGGGUGGGGACAGACUGCAGGGACAACAGCCUGAGCAAAGGCACAGAGAGGAGAAGGGCAAAGGAAACCACACCAGGACCCGUGGAAUAUGCUGGAAUCUUCCAGAAAGUGGGACUGUGGCUGGUCUUGGCGGCCUUGACUGCAGGCAGAGAGGUCUGAAACCAAGUUAUAGUCAGUGGGGAGCAUAAGAAGGCAUGUUCCAACGAUGGACAUGGGGAGGGCACCCAGCAGUGACCAGCAGGGGCAGGGACUGAGCCUAUGACAGCUGGUGCCUACACCCCAAGGCUGGAGGUGGGGAUGUGAAUGACUGGGGUGUGUCACAAGCACACCUCUGGGACAGCCUGUAGGGUGGGUGAGCAAGAGUAACUGUGCGUCUGUCCCUUGCACAGAGUGUCCUAACCUUCACUUGAGGCAGGCCCUGGGCCACACCUCGGAAUCCUCCAGGACCAGAGAGUGGCCUCCAGGCCAGACAAGCUCAAGGGAGAUGAUGGAUGGAGGAGGCCCUCAGCCACCAGUCACAGCUCUUGGACGGAUACACACACACACACACAAAACCACUGUGGAACCCGGAAGCAGCAUCUGACCCCCUCCCCAAAGGAGCUGGGGCAGAUAGUGGCUGGGGCCGUGGCCUGACCAACUGCAGCUCUGACCUCACCUUGAGAGUCUUGGACCACGUGGCUCUGUGGCUUUCCCAUCAGUCCUGCUACUACCAUUAGCACACAACCCUCCAGGGUGGGUGCACAUCAUAAAGUCAUGGUGAAGCUGAACGAACAAACUUGAAUCCAAACUCGUUGCCUGCCUGGCUGUGAGCACUGGCCUCUUGCGCCUCAGUUUCUUCAUCUGAAAAAUGGGCAUAAUAAUGGCAGAGGCAGAGAAAUGAUGGAGGUAAGGCCCUUAGAGAAAGGGGCUUGUCCCAGGUCACCUGUGGCCCUGAAGCUUCCCCAUCAGUAUGGGCCAUAAGUCUUCAAGGUGGAGAAGGAUUGGGCUUACCACUAUGUCCCACCAUGGGGUUGGGUGGCAGUAUUGCUCCUAUCUGCAUGUGAGAAGGGAAAGGCUCAGAGAAGUUGGUAACUGGCCCUGCAGGACAGGAAGGGUACAAAUUCUCAAGCCUGCUGUCUCCCUGGGAUUUGGGAUUCCAUUCCCACCGCCCUCCUCCAGAUAGAAAAACUCAAGUGCAAAAUGCAUUUCCCCUGCAGGACAUCCUCCUCCCUCUCCCCAAAACCCACACAGUGACCCUGGCCUGGCCUUCUGCGCCCAGGAGGAGCAGGGUCCCUAUCACGCAUCUCGGAGCUGGUUUUCACAUCGAUGGAGCACAAAGGGGGGUAGCCGGGCAGAGAAAGAGCCCGACAGGCCAGGAGCCGGCUCCGCAGGCGCUUUUCUCCCCGCUUUCUUCCUCUCCCGGCUCUUUGUUAAGCUCCCUUUCAGCUGAGCCGGCAGAGCCUGGGUGUUCCGAGCUGACAAUAAUUGCUGCGUCUAGACAGUGUCUGGUAUGAGGCCUCCCUCUCCCGCGCCUCCCCAAGGCUCGCUUUCCCAGCGCUGCCGGCCCUGCCCCAUGCCCUGUGGUUCCCACACCCCUUCCCUUCUUUCUGGCUGCCCAGGGUCCCUGUCCUGCCUCCCUCCUGCUCAGACCCUACACCUCUCUCUCCUUCUCCUCCUUCGGUCUUCAGACACACUCACCCCACUGGGUCCCCAGGCCUGAAAUCCAGGGAACAAAAGUGGAUUUGCAUGGACAGAGGAGCCUCUCAGGCUACAGUCCAUGGGGUCACAAAGAAUUGGACAUGACUGGGGAACUGAGCUUACCCUCCCUGAGACAAGCAUCAUACAGAGUCUGUAUGCAUAUUCAUUUAUUUAAUUUUCUCAACAGCCCUAUGAGAAAGAGUGAAAACAAGCCUGUACUUUGUCCCAUUUUACAGAUGAGGAAACUGAGGUCCAGAGAGGUUAAAUAAUUUGCCCAAAGUAACAAAGCCAAGGAAGUGGAGGAGCCUGGAUUUGAAGCCUCGGAGGAUGGCUCCAGAGCCCCAACAAUGAAUAGCAAGAGGAGUAUUAAAUGCUUACUGAAUACUUGAGGCUGAGAUUAACAUUUUACAUGUGCUGUUUCCUUUAUCCUCACAACAGUGUUAGAUAGGAUCCAGGGUUAUGCCCAUUAUACGCUUUAAAGGAGAAUAGCCCAGGGCUGCUGGGUGUGGCCAGAUGGUGACCUAACUCUGUUAGAAAGGCCCAGUAAUCCCUGAGUUGCAUGUGAAAAGCUUGGCCUGGAGUAGGAGCUCAGUAAGUGUUGCUAUUUCAUUUCCCACUUCUUCCUUCUGGGCUUUCAUGAGCCCCAGCCAGGCUGGAGAAGACAGUGUGGGACUCUGUCCUCAUGAGACCAUGGCCUAGAAGAGGGACCUGGCAAACCAGUCACUUUCAGUGUGGAGGGGAAAUUAUGAUGAUGUGAGUGAUGCAGGACCUCUGGGAGACAAGAGGAGGGACCCUGAAUCCAAGAAGGCUUCCUGGAGGAGGUUAAAUCAACACUGUCUAAGAGAAUGAGUAAGAGUUGGGCAGGUUAAGUGACUUCCCUGGUGGUCCAGUGGCUAAGACUCCAUGCUCCCAGUGCAGGGGGCCCAGGUUCGGUCCUUGGUCAGGGAACUAGACCCCACAUGCUGCAACCAAGAUCCAGAGAAGCCAAAUAAAUAAAUAAAUAGUUGGUCAGGUUAAGGGAGAGGGAAAGGUGCUCCUAGCAGAGGGACCCACACGUAAGAAGGUCUUGAAGUCCAGGGUUACCCCAGAGAAGCCGAGAUCUCUAAGCAGCUUUGUUGGGCUGAACAGAUGCAGGAGCCAAGGACGGAGCCAAGUGAGCCAUGAGGCCGCAGCUGCGAUUAGGAAGGGCCUCAACAGCCAGGCCGCUGGGCACUGGGACAGAACCCAAGGCUGGGAGGCCAGUUAGGAGACGUCAGGAGUCUGGGCAAGCAGCGCUGGGAUAACCAGGAAGAUGUGGAAUGGGGCAGGCUGAGUGAAGGAGACAGAGGCCUAAGGAGUUUUAGAAAGAUGGCCUCCUGUGAUAUAGGGGACUGGCCUGUGAGUUCGCCUUCAAUGCCAUUCCAGACAAGGACACAGCAAAGAUGAAGGCGUGGAGGUAGGGGGAGCCAGGUGUAUGUCUGGGAGGGAGACAGUGGGGCCAGGUACUGAGCAGCCUUCAUAAUCAAAGUUUGGAGGAUUAACUGGGAAGAUUCAUCUAGAACCUUGGUAGGAUGGAUUAAAGGGGCAACCCUGGAGGCAGGGAGGCUGGGGAAGAGGCCAAGAGGAGGCCGCUGCUGAGUGGAUUUUCCUUCCCUGGCAGAUCGGUCCUCUUCUUCAACUGCUCUUCCCUUCUGCGGAGUCAUUUUGAUUCUGCACUGACUCCCUCCCCGCGGGCUGUUCACACCUUCCACCCCCAGCUGGAGAUGGAAGGAGGACACUCACCAUUCAGUCCUCACCCAGGCCAUCAACAGAAAUGUCAGACAGCGCGUCUAGCUCCCGGUCUGCCACCUCUGGGCCUGCCUCUGACCGAUGUAGCUGAGUGGUGGCUUCUCUGGACUUGACUUGGGAGGCGUAGCCUGGACCUCGUCAGGAGCCGUGGGUGCAGAGCACGCACCUCUGGCUUCUAUCCUGAAACACUGGACUGUGGAUCUGAUGCUGGGAGUUCAGACUGGAAAAGGAGAAAAACAGGAAUCAGCAGGUGAUAUAAGGCCAGCGGGGAUAGUCUGGGAGCACUAACGGCGAAGACCACAGAGGCCCCCCAUCCUGGACUCCAAAUCCCUGGGUACAUAGGUUCAGAACUCAGAAUUUUCCCAGUUGUAGGAGGAAAGGAUUACACGUAGACCACGUAUCUCCUAAUACCCCCAGUGAAGUGUGGGGCAGCCCCUGUAAUCAGACGCAUUAACAGGUUUGCAGCAAAGCCUAUGAACAAAGAUAUAAACCCCCUCUGAAGCUCACUUUUCUCAUCUCUAACAUGGAGCAACGGCUGUAGUAGGCUCCCAGGGUUGCCCUGAAACUUUGAUGAUUCCCAUGAUACCGGCCAGCCUGCAGGAGACACAGGUUCUUGGCCUGCCCCGAGCCCUUUGGGGCACAUGCUGCUCCUUCCUGGAACAUCCAUCCCUAGACAUCUCAGGAGAUCCCUCUCUCACUUCCUUCAGGACUCGCCCCAGCAAGACUUGCCCUGUCUAUCCCCGUCUCCUCCCGCCCCUCUGUUCUCCUUUCUCUCCCUUCCCAACCUCUAUCAUUGGACAUAUCACUUAAUCGAUUACUCCCUUGUUAACUGCCUGCCCUCCUGCAGUAGAUUCCAAGCUCCGUGUAGUCAGGACUCUGCUGUCACCCACUUUGCCCCAGCACUUAGGAAAGAGCUGGCACAGAUGGGCACUCUGAUUUCUGUUGAAUGAGUGACAGUCUGUUAAAUGUGCCUUGCGCAUCGAAAAGGCUCAAUGAGGCCCAGCCCUGUGUCAUCACCCUUGUUAUUAUUGAUGCUGCUGUUAUUAUUUAUUUUUUUAGUUGCCCUAUGGCAUGUGGGAUCUUCCUGGACUGGGGAUUGAACCCACAUCCCCUGCAUUGGCGGUGGAUUCUUAACCACUCCACCACCAGGGAAGUCCCACUAUUAUGAAUAUUAUUAUUAGCAUCAUUACUAUGUUCCUGAGCUGAUCCCAGUCCUUGGUUCUCCAGCCUCUGAAAUGAGCAUCCUGGGGACUGAGGCAUCAGCCGCCAGAAGCAGAAACAGGUCCUUGCUGGAGAGACAAAGAAGGCUGCCCGCCCCCCUGGGGGAGCCUGCGCCCCUCACUGGAGAGAGAGGCCUGGGAGAAGCUUGGAGAAGGCACACAGCCCCAUUGAACAGGGCUGCCAGAAGGCCAUACAUAAUUCAUUGCCAAAUGGGGCGGCGGGCGGCUGUGCGCUGGGGGCUCACUCCGCGCCUGGCACUUUGCUGACUGCUCCUCACACGUUGCCUCAUUGCAUCUUCUUGGAUUUGCAGGGUGCGAACCUUCCCCCCGCCUCUCCCUUUUCCCCGGGGCGGGGGGGCCUGAGGUUUAGAGAAUGGGGCCACCGUGCAAGACACACAGCUUCUCAGUGGCCAAGCGGGAUCCAUGGUCCCUGCCUCUCUGUGGAGGAAAGAGACCGAGUGGGACAGAGACCUACCCCAGACGGGGCAGCGGAGGAAGGGCCGGGUCACAGCAGGGCAAAAGGAAGGGGCGGGGAACCCACAGCCCACGCCUCCUCCUCUCCUGGAGGACAAGCUCCCUGCUGUGGCCGCCGAGAGUGCUGGCUCUGGAGUUUCAAGGGCUCAGUUUGCUCAGCUGGAAAGUGGGAGGAACAGAACCCAUCCCCUGGGGCUCCGAGGUCCUGCAGACAGGAUGCUGGCUCAGAAAAUGGCAUCUGCCCAGGAGGAAAGCCAGUCCCCAAAAAGGUUACAUCCUCUACAAUUCCCUUCAGAUAGCAUAUUCAAAGUCACACAAUGAUAGUGCGAUGGAAGACAGAUUAGGGACAUGCUGGAUGGAGGGGCGUGGUUAUGAAAGAGCCCCGGGAGGGAUCCUUGUGCCGAUGGAAACGUCCUGCAUCCUGCCUGUGACGGAGGAUCCACAAACCUGUGAUGAAAUUGUGUAGAACUAGACACACACACAAAAGCCUGUAAGGGAAACUGGGGAAUGGGAGUAAGACUGGGGGGCUGUGUCAGUGUCUAUAUCCCAGCCGUGACCCUGUCCUAUUCUGCUCGAUGCUUCCACUGGGGGAAACUGGGUGAAGGGUGCAGGGAGUAUCUCUGUACUACUUCCUACAGCUUCACGUCCAUCUACAACCAUCUCAAUGGAGACGUCAAUUUUUUAAAAUGUCAUCUGGGGAAUUCCCUGGGAGUCCAGCGGUUAGGACUCUGUACCUUUACUGCUGAGGGCCCGGUGUGGUCCCUGGUCAGGGAACUUAGGAUCCCUCGUGUGGCACAGCCCCCCAAAAAACAAAAAAAUGUCAUCUACCUCUGCCCCAGAAAGGAUUACAUGAACCAUCUCAAUCCGUUCUUUCCUUGGCUCUGAAUUGUCCUUCCUGCCUCACUCUGAGGGUCCCCAGUCUUUGUUCCAGAAUGUUCCUGUUGUCUCUCACUUUUGCCUAGACCGGAAUUCAAUACCACCCCGUGGGAAUCUAGACAGACCCUAGAGGACGACAAGGAAGGCCUUUGUCAUCUGUCUCCUAUCUGCAUCCAGCUGGGAAUCACAGCCACGCUGAGGCUCCCAGUCAGGAUUACGAAAACCAUGAACCCACUGGCCUUGGUCUCCCACUCCAAGAGAGUGUGGGCCAGUGGAGAGAAUGCUGAGUGUCCAGCCCUACGGCUCCCAGACCCAGCCAAUCUUCUGCCGCACCAUGUGACUUUAGACAAUCUCUGUCCUCUUUUCAUUUCCUAGUUUCCUCAUUUGAAGCACAAACAAACUGGACUGGAUUAUCCUUAGGGGUCUUCCAGGCCCGUGAAGAGGCGAGCCUGGCCCCUGUGCUGCUGCCCAGGGGACUCUCCUUGACUUUUGUGUGAUUGGUUGAGAAGAGCAGGGCCCCAGGGCUGCCUCAGGCCCUCCCUUCCUUUCAGCAUCAGUGUGGUGAGAGGUCAUUAAGUCACUCAAUAAACGUGCAUUGAGCACUCACCAACUGCCAAGCACUAGGGAAUAAAAGGUAGGGGGUGGGAGGGCAAUGCUGUCCCUGCCUUUGCAGAACCUGCAGUCUAGGAGGGAAGAAAGCCACAAAGAAAGACAAAAUAGCAGCUGAGAUCAUGCAAAGAAGCAAAGCAGCAGCUGGGUUGGUAUGUUUCAAGGCCACGGUGAGGGCUUCCCUGGGAAGUGACCAUUGAGCCACUGAACUGAGGUCUGAGCAAGGAAUCAACUCUAAGCAAAGAAGCGGGGAGGUGGCCUAGGGUAGAGGCUCCUCCAUGACAGGAGCAGCAAGAGCUGGGGGCCUGUGCAGAGAGAAGGUCUGGAGUAACAGAUCAUGAUCCAGGAAAGAGCAACAGCUUCAGUGGGUUACAAAGGAGAGUCAGGAUGAGGAGAGCCAGGCUGAGGAGCCUCGUCUCCAUCCCAGACAGAAGGGAUCCCGUGAGCUGCGUUAAGCAAGGGAUUUGCGUUUUGGAUUUGGAUUUUGUGUUGGAUUUGGAUUUUGAAAAUCUCCUCCUGGUUACCAAGAGGCGAGGAGACCUCAUGGGUCCUCCUUGUUGCCUUAUAUUUUUACCAUGGUGUUAUUGAGGCAUGUCCAAGCAUUAAAUGAAGCAUAAGAUCCUUAUA